UGCUGAGUGGCUCAGUCAGUAAAGCAUCUGCUUGCAGUGCAGGAGACCUGGGUUCAAUUCCUGGAUCAGGAA
rnacentral:tRNA from 1 species